UUAACCUUUCGUGUGUUUUAGACGUGGAUCCACGUUCGAAAAAUCUUUACCCUCGUGUGCCUAAGCGUGGAUCCACGUCCAAAACUAACAAACUUUUUAAAUGCGAUUUUGUUCUCUAUUCUUUGGACUUUUGGGUAAAUUUUUUUUUGCAACGAAAACGUACUGAAUGAAUCUGUCACGGGCGGCCAUUAGACUGAAUGGAUUUCGUCAUGGGAAUGGGAUCGACAAGUAAAAACAAGUGCAUUCUGGUGACACGUGCGACCGGUGAAAUUCCUUUUGUGUGAUUCUCACGAAAAUAAACAACUGAAUUCAUCAUGGUUGUGGUCCUGGAUCUUGACCGGUUUUUGCAUAAACGCGACUAUAUUUCUUGCUAUAAAGGAGAGUGUAUGUGGCCAUGGGAGGAAACCCAUUUCUUGCGGGAAAAUAUUUGUCAUAUUUGCCACACGGAAGUUAAUAACUCCAUAAGGCACUUCCGUGUCAUCAUGAGUAGAAAUACAAUUCGUCGGCUUCUACUAUCAAAUUUUUUCUGGUGCAAAUGUGGUUAUAGUGUAUAUGAUCACUAUCCCCAGACGAAUGUUGCUCAUAAAUUCUUAAUUUUAAUUUGAUUCUUUUUUUAAAUUCAUUGAUCAGAUCAUUCCAAGAAGAAUAUGUUUUUAUUUUCAAAAAUAAAAUUGAUUUCUUAAUCAAAUUAACUCAUUUUCUCUACGUGGACACAAGAAGGUACUAGGCAAGAUCUACGUCGUCCAAUAAACUAUUAAAUGGCAUAAUUGACUAACUGGUAAUGGAGCCAGACCGAAUUAUUGACGACGUCGGGCUUCCCGAAGCCAGCACUUCAAAAAGUGUGGGUACCGGAAGACAUUUUCCCGAUGACGACGAUUAUGAUUGGCAGCCUAAUCAAAGGCCUCAUGACCUUGAUAUGUCUUAUUCCGAGGUAGAUAUUUAACAAUUUUUUUUUACUUUUUAUUUUUAGAGUUUUGCACGCAUUCUCCCUCUGAUUAAUUAUAAAUGAAUAUGAUUAUAUUUGUCACAUUAUCAAAAAGAAUUAUCAUAAAUGGCAAUUUACUCUUGUAGAUACUCAGUGGGCCAUUAGGCGAGGAGCUAAGAGUGGAUUCGGGCAGUGAGGAAGAGGAGGAACCUAUGUCGCUGGAGGAGCUUCGAGCUAUCCUGGAAGAGACAGCCGAAGAUGUUGAGGAAGAUCCCGAA